GCGAAAACUUUACAAUGCUGGCAACAGCGAUAAGGGAACCUCGAGUGCCAGGUUACAAAUCUGGCUGUCGAGAUGCCUAAAAAGCAUUUCAUAGCAAGGGCCGGGCAAGACCGGUGCCAGCCGCCGCGGUAACACCGGCGGCUCGAGUGGUAACCGUUAUUAUUGGGUCUAAAGGGUCUGUAGCCGGCCGGAUAAGUCUCUUGAGAAAUCUGGCAGCUUAACUGUCAGGCUUUCAGGAGAUACUGUCUGGCUCGAGGCCGGGAGAGGUGAGAGGUACUUCAGGGGUAGUGGUGAAAUCUUGUAAUCCUUGAAGGACCACCAGUGGCGAAGGCGUCUCAACAGAACGGACCUGACGGCAAGGGACGAAAGCUAGGGGCACGAAGC
rnacentral:rRNA from 1 species